CCACGAGGGUUAGACUGUCUCCUUUUUCAAAUCAGUGAAAUUAAUCUCCCCGUGAAGAAGCGGGGAUACUCAUAUAAGACGAGAAGACCCCAUGGAGCUUCAAACCCAACUACACCCCUAGCUCUUAUAGCCCCACAACCCCCCUAGGCGCCGUGUGCUUGGUUUUAGGUUGGGGCGACCGCGGAGUACAAUAAAACCUCCACAAUGAAUGGGAACACCCCCUUAUCUGAGGGCCACACCCCCUAAGAAUUAGAACACUAACAUAAAAUGAUCCAUUACUUGAUCAAUGAACCAAGUUACCCUGGGGAUAACAGCGCAAUCCAUUUCAAGAGCCCCUAUCGACAAAUGGGUUUACGACCUCGAUGUUGGAUCAGGGUACCCCAGUGGUGCAGCAGCUACUAACGGUUCGUUUGUUCAACGAUUAAAACCCU
rnacentral:rRNA from 1 species